GCGCGAAAACUUUACAAUGCUGGCAACAGCGAUAAGGGAACCUCGAGUGCCAGGUUACAAAUCUGGCUGUCGAGAUGCCUAAAAAGCAUUUCAUAGCAAGGGCCGGGCAAGACCGGUGCCAGCCGCCGCGGUAACACCGGCGGCUCGAGUGGUAACCGUUAUUAUUGGGUCUAAAGGGUAUGUAGCCGGCCGGAUAAGUCUCUUGAGAAAUCUGGCAGCUUAACUGUCAGGCUUUCAGGAGAUACUGGCUGGCUCGAGGCCGGGAGAGGUGAGAGGUACUUCAGGGGUAGGGGUGAAAUCUUGUAGUCCUUGAAGGACCACCAGUGGCGAAGGCGUCUCACCAGAACGGAUCUGACGGCAAGGGACGAAAGCUAGGGGCACGAACC
rnacentral:rRNA from 1 species